rnacentral:rRNA from 1 species
GACGAACGCUGGCGGCGUGCCUAAUACAUGCCAGUAGAACGCUGAAGAGAGGAGCUUGCUCUUCUUGGAUGAGUUGCGAACGGGUGAGUAACGCGUAGGUAACCUGCCUUGUAGCGGGGGAUAACUAUUGGAAACGAUAGCUAAUACCGCAUAACAAUGGAUGACACAUGUCAUUUAUUUGAAAGGGGCAAUUGCUCCACUACAAGAUGGACCUGCGUUGUAUUAGCUAGUAGGUGAGGUAAUGGCUCACCUAGGCGACGAUACAUAGCCGACCUGAGAGGGUGAUCGGCCACACUGGGACUGAGACACGGCCCAGACUCCUACGGGAGGCAGCAGUAGGGAAUCUUCGGCAAUGGGGGCAACCCUGACCGAGCAACGCCGCGUGAGUGAAGAAGGUUUUCGGAUCGUAAAGUUCUGUUGUAAGUCAAGAACGGGUGUGAGAGUGGAAAGUUCACACUGUGACGGUAGCUUACCAGAAAGGGACGGCUAACUACGUG